rnacentral:lncRNA from 1 species
CAUCGGUGCUGGUGGUGCCUGGUGUGUACGGUGGCACACAGCCGAAAGGCCAGCACCCCUAAAGGUGGCAGUAUUAAGUAGGAGUGGAAGCAGCCAGCAGAACUGGCAGCCGUCCCUUAGUCAUCCAUGCCAGACAGAAGGGGCAGUGAUGUGUGGCAGAUGCCAAGAGGUAUCUGACCCGUGGGCUCUGUGCAUGAGGCAUGUGAGAUCCCCUUGGAGACCCAGAGAGAUGGGCGCUGCAUUCUGUAUUAACUGAUGAAAGCCAGAUAAUUACUAAGCAUGUGACACAAUUCGCCUCACAGGCUGGUUUAGCUUGUUCUAGGGCACGGAGAAUUCUCCUAGCUUAUAGGACAGUUGUGAGGACUGAAUGAGACCAUCCAUAUGAGACAUCUGCUCUGUGUCUGGCGUAUAGUAGAUGCUCAACAAUGGUUCAUGUCCUCCCCCACCCUUCUUGUAUUCUCUUAGGAAUAUGGACCGCCAGCAACACUGUGUCAUUGCAGUAUCCCUAUCUAAAAGUUUACAGAGACAAAGGGAUCUGAAAUCAACCAGAAUAAAAUGACCACGGAGUAGACGUGUUACAAAGAAAAAGAGAGGAAAAUCGGCAACAAUAGUGACAACAAGAACAAAAUAACAAGAAAACUCCCACAAAGACAGAAGGAAGACAAUGCAGCUAGUGAGCAAAUUAGGAAUUUGAAAGCAUCUUCUGAGAGCUUGAAUGGUCAGUGUUGAAUUUGGGAAAUAAGUGUAUAAAAAAAGGAAAUUGAAGAAAAAAAAAGUGUGCUCUUGGCUGAUGGACAGAUGCACACACUGUCCUAAUAUAAUUGAACGCUCUAGGUAAAAAUAGUUUCUUGUAUUCAUUUAUCUCUGUUAACUUUGAUUGCUCUAUUUUUAAUAAUGCUGGGAGGCUCUGGCUAAUGUGAUGAAAAAUAUUCUUUAAAAUGUUGGAGUGGAGAGCAGGUUAAAACACACCUGUUCAAGAGCCAGUGAACAUUCGGAAAGGAAAGAAAGAAAGUUAUAUUGUAGGAAGCUUUGCUGUUUUAUUUGUCUUAAUUUGAAGGUGCAGCAGGUGUACAAAGAGGAAAGGAAAGUUCUCAUUGUUGUUUGCCUCAAUUGAAUGCAAAAAAUCAUGUUUAAAAAAGAUAGAAAUUUAUUGACACUAAUGUCACCACAGAGUAGAAAUGUGCCUUGGGAAUCACUUACUCCAACGAUUCUUAAUCUACAGAUGAAUGUACUGAGGUUCCUAAGGGUGAGGUGAGAAGACCCAUCCAGCAUCACAAGACCCAUUCAAGGUGAUGUGGCUAGUUUGUGCUGAAGGCAGAAGUUUCCAGAAUUCCUGACCCUCAUGCUAUGGAACAGUCCUUGUGAGAAUAUCAGAGAUGAAUGAACAAGGUAGAAAUUUUAAAAAUUGGAAGAUGAGAUAUGAAUUCCUUUCAAGAACUGGAUUUGAAUAGAGAUUACAGUAGAAGGAAGGCUCAUACUGAGACCUGAGAAAGUUGAGGCCAGAUCAGGGUCCCCUUUCUGGGUUGCAAGAGUUAAUAUCGUAAGCAAAUGCAAAGCGC